CGUUCCCGGGUCUUGUACACACCGCCCGUCACACCACGAGAGUUUACAACACCCGAAGUCGGUGGGGUAACCCGCGAGGGAGCCAGCCGCCGAAGGUGGGGUAGAUGAUUGGGGUG
rnacentral:rRNA from 1 species